CUACAUUCUCUUGUAAUAGACUUGAAUUUACUAAAUAAAAAAAAUUAACUUUCUAAUACAACUUGAAUCACCUGGAUUGAAUGUUGGUUGACAUAUUUAUGCAUGUUCAGUUACAUUAUGAAUUUUCGAUAAUUCAAAUCAUUAAAGUUGUGGACAUUGUUCAUUGAUUCAUGCAUAUCAUUCUCACCGGACAUCCAAUCUUGGUGAUUCAAGUUGAAUUAGACAUUUAAGUCAAAUAACAUGCACCAUUCCGUGUGUUGAG
rnacentral:lncRNA from 1 species